rnacentral:misc_RNA from 1 species
CCGAGUUCUAUUAGCCUUUAUGGUUAAUAACUCCCACCCUAUGUUUUUUAAACUUGUUGCUUCGGUGGGACGUAGAUAUCCUGUCUCCGUUGGCAUCUGCGGGCGUGCGCCCACCGAAGGUUUUACUCUUGUCAACUUGUGUCUGAGUAACAUGAAAUCUAUAA